GACGAACGCUGGCGGCGUGCUUAACACAUGCAAGUCGAACGGAAAGGCCCUGCUUUUGUGGGGUGCUCGAGUGGCGAACGGGUGAGUAACACGUGAGUAACCUGCCCUUGACUUUGGGAUAACUUCAGGAAACUGGGGCUAAUACCGGAUAGGAGCUCCUGCUGCAUGGUGGGGGUUGGAAAGUUUCGGCGGUUGGGGAUGGACUCGCGGCUUAUCAGCUUGUUGGUGGGGUAGUGGCUUACCAAGGCUUUGACGGGUAGCCGGCCUGGGAGGGUGACCGGCCACAUUGGGACUGGGGUACGGCCCGGACUCCUACGGGAGGCAGCAGUGGGGAAUAUUGCACAAUGGGCGGAGGCCUGAUGCAGCAACGCCGCGUGCGGGAUGACGGCCUUCGGGUUGUAAACCGCUUUCGCCUGUGACGAAGCGUGAGUGACGGUAAUGGGUAAAGAAGCACCGGCUAACUACGU
rnacentral:rRNA from 1 species